AAAUUUAGAGGUUGAAAAGGUUAUUUCACAAUUCGAUGCAAGCAUUAACAGUCAAUAAUAAUGGCCACCAUGUGAUAGUCACAAUUAUCUUGAGAUCUUCAUAUUCCACCAUCACUCUUUCCAUCUUCGUCAUUCACUUUAUUUCUCUUUCACCCCUUCAAAUGGUUGAACCAGAGGAGCUGAUUGACGAUUAUUGGCCUUUCGAAUCAAGAAAAUCCACUGUGAAAAACAUGGGGGAUGCGUCGAAAGAUGUCAAUACCUCCAUGAUGGGAGUUUCGGGCAUGGGUGGAGUGGGGAAGAAUACAUUUGUGAAGGAAGUUGGUAGGAAAGCCAUGAAGAUCUCUUCUUUGAGAGGUGGUUGUCGCAGAGGGAUGAUGAUUAUCUCUCAAAUCUUCUUCUGUUAGAUAACACCAUGCGUGUGUUAGCAUCUCGACUCACCACUUAUCUGUGUAGAAGAAGACCCGGGCAUGUUCAACCCCGUAACUUCUCAUCGCACAAUGUCAAAGACGAACUCCCUCUUAUUGAGCAAGAAAGGAUAUAUUCUGAAAUAAUGUGCGGGGGUUUUUGAUUGCUAGGAUUGCAACUUAUUUUGGUUAUCUACAUUUUGGUUUACCUUUCAUGGGAGAUGAUUAGAAUAUGUGACACGCUGUGUCACUUUUGAAAUCCAAUUAUAUUGAAAUCCAAUUAUAAACAAACCGGAGCUCAUAUAUUAGCCCGUUAUGCAAUAGAUGAUUUCUCCUUAUGAAGCAUUAGUAUCCAAGAAUUCAUGACAAGCCAAGUAUCUGGCUAUCCGACCUUGGUCCAGUAUGGCAUUCCUUGUUUGAGCUCGAACUCAAGUACAGGAAGGCAUACUCGGACUGGAGCUCGAGCUUGUGUUAUCAAACUUGAGCUAAUUGAAUUCGAGUAUUGCUGGAUUAGCUUCAAAAUUCCGGUUCUAAAUUAUACUCAACUCUCAUUCUCUGCAUCCAUUUCUCACUCACAAAAUCCAAACCUGCAUUACAAAAAGCCGUUAAAACCGCCAAAAAACUAUAUUCAUCCAGGACAAAACUUCUCGCAUCAAAUAAACGAAAAAGCUCAAGUACUGAAUUUUUAUCUUCUUGUCGUGCAUAACUAGCUAUCAUAGCAUUCCACACAACGAUAUUUAAUUCGCUCAAAUUCUCAUAAAAAGCCCUUCUUGCAUCAAACACAAGCCCAGCUUUUCCAUAUCCAUCAAUCAAGGCGGUUCCCACAAUCACAUUUUUGUCCAAACCCGCAACAACAGAAUGCCCAUGAACCACCCUGCACUGCUUCAUCACCGCUAGCUCAGCCGCUGUGCAAAGCUCUAGACACGCUGUGCAUUGUGGACCGCAGAUCACAGCUCCUCAUAUCAGCAAACACUGAUAAAGAAUCCAACAACGAGAGUUCUGCGUGAAACACACGAUCAUUGCCGUGUAAAGACCUUGUCUCUGUUUUGAAUUUCAUCGAACCCCUGUUGGCAUUGUCAGGGGAGCAAAAGUGAGAGUAGAAGUUUACAAGAGCGGUGCCGCAGAAGGGUUUGUUUUGGAGGGAGAGUUUGAGAGAGAGAGUGGAGGGAAAGGCCAAAGGAGAAAGCGUGAGAGAGAGGUGCAGGUUUUGAACAGGGAGGCUAAGGUGCGCUGAUUGUUGAUUAGGAGGUCAGGUUCAAUGGUUUGGUGAAGCUACUCAAAAUCAAAAGUCAAAAAAGUGUAAGUGUGCAUACUGUUUGCUUCUUGCUUUAUGAAAAGGUGGAGAAAGAUUAGACAUUGGAAUAGUGGUGUUAACAGUCCUAAUUUGUAUUAUUAGUAUGAUGUUAUAGGUAGCCUUGGAUAUCCAGAUUGCACUGUCUGGAUUUGGAUUUGUUGUAUUUGUGAUAGUGUUAUUUGGAUUUCAGAUUUUAUUUUGUUAUUGGGUUUAUAAUUUUCAAUUUUUUUCAGGUCUGAUCAGCAUGAUGUCAUCAUGCUGAGGUCAACAUGAUGACGUCACUGGUUCGAUGCACCGGUCGGACGGCUCAAUCGCUCGACCUGGGACUCAGCCCCUUGGCUGGGUUACACCUAGGGUCGGGUUUCAGAACAUUGAUAAAGUGUUACAAUUGUAUCAAUUAUAAAGAAUAUUAAAAACGAAUAUAAAUAUUUUAGUGCAUGGUAUAACCAGUAUACUGUUGUGAUAAUUAUAUUGUCAUGAACCCCUGUAUUAAAUUCCUGGAUUUGUUCCUAAAUUUAGGCCUUGACAGAAUGAAAAAAAUUGAAUGAAUCAUGGCUAUGUCCCUAAAUUUACUCCACAUACUUUGUAAAAACUUUAUAUUUUUGGUAGCUUUUAAGUUAUGAUUUUGCAUUCCUGUGCAGGUAAUGUUAUUGAAUCACUUGGUUUGAAAUUACUACAUGAUGUAUGCUGGGAAUGUGGAGGUUUGCCCAUUGCCAUUGCUACUGUAGCGAGAGCAUUGAGGAACAAGACAAAUCAGUUUGAAUGAGAAGAUGCUUUGCGAGAACUGAGAAUGCCUUCCCAAACCAGGUUCAUACGUGGUUAGAAAAUGGAUAUUCAAAUGUUUUGUUGAGUUACAAUUACUUAACAGGUGAUGGAACUCAAGAAAAAUUUUUAAAUUUCUACUCUAAUGGAAAAUGAUACUUCUAUGUCGGACUUCUUCAAACAUAUCAUUGGUUUCGAUAUACUUGAAGGAGGUUAACCUUACGAUGGAAUAUGCACAAAAUAGACUAGAUAAAGUGGUUGGUGAACUCAUAGAUUCUUGUUUGUUACCUGACGAAAUAGACUAGAUAAAGUGGUCGGUGAACUCAAAAGACUCCUUUUUGUUACUUGACAAAAUAAAUUGGAUAAAGUGGUUGGUGAACUCAAAGACUUUUGUUUGUUAUUUGACGAAAUAGACUAGAUAAAGUGGUUGGUGAACUCUAAGACUCUUUUUCUGUUAUUUGAUGAAAUAAACUAGACAAAAUGGUUUGUAAGCUCAAAGACUCUUGUUUGUUACUUAGUGGUUCUUUCAGUAAACGAUUGUGAUGUUGCCUUAACGAUUAGCUUUUGGCCUAAUGUUUUAGACUGUUCAGACCUUGAGUUUUUGUGAGUAUGGAGGUUCUUUAAAAAUCCUGGAUAGUUUUUUCCAAGGUGUGGCUACCGUUAUUGCAGUCCUUGAUUGGUCUCUUGAUAAACCUUCAAACAUUGUGUUCAUGUUUGGAUUAUAGCAGGAUUUAAAAUGUUGCUAUCAUCUGAGAACUGAAGAUACUCAAAGUCCUUGUCCUUAGCCUGUGAGAUUCUUGUUAUAUAAGAGUUGAGUAAUAGGCCAAUUGACGCCACUAAUCUUGUUAGAUUCAAGCAAUUGGGAGCAACUAGAAGUUGUUGCCGAAAAUGUAAUAUCAAGCUUAUUUCGAUUAAGUGUAUAAGGGAGUGCUCUGUUGAAUGGAAAUGUAAUAUCAAAUGUUGAAUGCUCUGCUAGAUUUAGAUUUUUGUUUAUGCACAUUCUCAAUUUUUAACAUGUAGAAGUGUUAUUGAUUUUGUUCCUCUCUUUGCAUCUAUUGUUUUCUUGUGAUAAAUUUUUUUUUAUCGGAAUUUCAUUUUGUAAUGGUUUGUGUUUCCAUCUCUGUUCAAUAUUAUUUUGUUAUACAAGGUGUGAUUAAGAAGAAAAACAAUGAACAAAAAACUGAAAGGAUAAUAUGAAAUCCAGAAUCAUCAGGGAAAUAUAAAGGUUUUAACCGUUGUGUAAAACUGCAGAAAGUAAAAAAUACUAUGAAAGAAUGCAG